UAUCGUAAUAUAAACAUAAGAACAACCUUUAACACCUAAGAAACACAUAAGAAAUCACUCAAGCAAUUUAUCACAUUUUUAAGGAACACUUUACAGUGAGCUAAGAAUUCACUGUUACAGUAAAGUCCCUUAACUUUAAUUGAGUCACUUUCUAGCAUGUAAUUCCCACACUAAAAACUAUCCUAAGACUCACUUAAGUAAGACAAAGAGAGACCACCUAUACACUCUCUCUAGGCACACCUAAAUGAUCUUGAAGACCACCUAUAAUGAGAUACACACACUUACAAUACACCAAACACAUGAGUAUGAGAUCCUCCUACCAAAGGUGAUUCUAAGGCUCACUUGAGUGAGUUGUGAAGCGACCGCCCAAUAUAAUCAUGAAUUUGAUGCAUAAAUGUUAUAAGACUUUCAAUAGAAAUCAUUAUCUUCCUCAUAAUUAUUUUUUGGUAAUCUUCUACGGUGAAUUCUCCGGCAAGUUCGAACGGAAAAAUCAUAAAUUUUAAAUUAAAAAUUAUUAACUUUUCUUUUGAAGUCAUCAUAUUCUCCACUCCUUUCUAUUUCUUUUUAUAAGUUCAUUUUUAAAGGUAGAGUGUUGGAUGUGCUUCCGUCAAACAAUCAAUGAUGACAUAUCUAGUGAUCCCUAAGAAGAAGAAGAACUCCAAAUUAAGAAAGAUGUAAAUGAUUUAAAGAAAUUGGGGUCACCAAUAACAGAUUAAAAAAUAAAGAAAAAUGAAAUAAUUGAUUUAUUAAAAAUUGUAAUAUAGUGACUAAUAUAAUAGUGUCAUGUGUUCAAAAUUUUCAUUCUAACAUAUAUUUUUUUCUUCUCACGCACCUUAAGGAAUGUGAGGACACUUUUUUUGUCAUGUCACGUUUUGAGGUGGUAUUAAUAUCACUUUGAACAAGAUUAGGUGUGUAAUAGGUCACUGUAAUAGUUUAAGCGUGUAACUGACUUUUCGGUAUAAAUUCAAGGAGGAAUUUAUGUCUUUUGCCAAUGGUAUUAUAUGAUCUAUUACUAAUACCUUCCAUUGGAGGUAUUAGUAAAUCAUAUGACAUAAUAUCAUGGGAAAAGUCUAUGUAAAGAGAAUAAUAUCCCCCAAAUCAUUUUAAUUAUUUUAUUUGUUUUCUUGAUUUUAUGUUUUAUAUUUGUACUAGUAAUUUAUUUAAAUAAAUUAGAUUUAAAAUUAUUUAGAGAAAGUUGUUUGUUACUAAAUAAAUCUAAUUCAAAUUUGAAAUGAGAAUUAUUUAACAUUAACUAAUUAAAAAAUAAAUAUAUCAUUACAUGACGUUUGGAUCUUAAUUGCAUAUUUUUAUUUAUAUACAUAAAUAUAUAUAUAUACACACACUAGCGUAUGACUUGGUAAUGUUUGAUUUCUAAAAAGCAGAUUUUGUGCUAAUUUGAGUAGCUAUGGAUUUCCACAAACUCUACAUUAGGGUUAACAAAAGAAAAUUCAAUGACAAUUUAUAAUAUAUACUACUAAAACACUGGAAAUAUUGACUUAAAAAGUAUCGACCUCAAAUUGAGGUCGAUAAUUUCCGACCUCCAGAGGUCGGUAUUGUUAAAAAGAAUAAAAAAUAAUUUCUUUUAGAAAACCGACUGCAAGUCAAUUUUUAUGCAAACUAAAGUGGGAAAAUAAAAUUCCGACAGGAGGUCGAAUUUUUCCUGGAAAAAUGAAUUACAAUAAAAACCGACCUCUUGAUGUCAGUAUUAAAUGAAUGAAUAAAUAAAAACAUUUUGUUUUGUUCUCAAUUAAAUAUAAAAAACAAAAUUGAGAAAUAUUUUGAAUUAAUUUUAUUUAAAUCGUCUUUUAGAGGAUGAUUUUGUGUAAAAAAACUAAUAGUAUCGACUUCAGUAGUUGGUAAAAUUAAAUAAUAUGUAACAAAAUUACUUUUCAUUAAAAUAUUUCUAUAGUGACUUCAGGAAAAUUAAUAAAUUAAUAUUUUCAAUUAACUUUAGAUAAAUCGUCCUCCGGAUGACGAUUUUAUAUAUUAAAGGUAAAUUAAUAUAAAAUACCGACCUUAUGAGAUUGGUAUUUUCACUUCAUCCAUUUACUUUUAAUAAAAGCUACAUUCGGAGGUCGAUUUGUUUAAAAUAUUCCUAUUAAUCAUAAUUUUACUAGCAUAAUACUAAAUUUUCAUUUCACACCGACAGUUAAUUGUUCAAAAAAGUGAAACAAUUUUGUAUACUUUUAUAAAUAAAAAGUUAGAUCAAUAAUCGAUAUUUAGAGUAUGAACCUACGUAAUCGACUACAAGUAGCAAACUUUUAUGCAAAAUAAAGAUGAAAAAUCAAAUUCCGACCUCCUUAGGUCGGAAUUAUUCCCAGAAAAAUGAACCACAAUAAAAACUGACCUCUUGAUGUCGGUAUUAUAAACGAAUAAAUAAAUAAAUAAAUAAAUAAUUCUCAAUCAAAUAUAAAAAUAAAAUUGAGAAAGAUUUUGAAUUAAUUUUAUUUAAAUCGUCUUAUGGAGGACGAUUUUGUGUAAAUAAAAAACAAACAAAUUAUAAUGUCAGCUUCUGGAAGUCGGUAAAAUUUAAAUAGUAUGUAAUUAUAUUAACUUUUGUUAAGAUAUUUAUAUAGCGACUUUAAAAUAAAUUGAUAAAUUAUUAUUUUCAAUCAAAUUUAAAUAAAAAAUCGUCCUCUGGUUGAUAAUUUUUUAUAAAAUAAAAAUAAAUUACUAUAAAAUACCGAUCUAUCUGAUGUCAAGAUUAUUUAAUUAGCAUGAUUACUUUUUUAUUUAUCUUAAAACUUAAUGUGAUACCGACCUCAUGAUGUCGAUAUUUUUUAUUAAAUCUAAUUACUUUUUGUAUCUCAUGUAAUGAUGUAGAUGUGAAGUAACAUAUAAUCCAUUCGAAUAUGAAAUGCAAGAUAAUACUCGUAGAAAUGUUGGUAACAAUUGAUAAAAUUUUAUAUUUGUAAUUAAUUGUUUAACUAUUUAUAUGUAUAACCUUCAAUGUCUUAUCUUGUUUUAUGAAAUAGAGAAUAGAACAUCGUAGAUUAUUGUACAAAGCAAGUUCUAUCGAGAUUAUUACGUUCGAUCUUGAAUGGAUGUCAAGUGUAGUGAUCAUAUCGUAGACAAUGACAUUUAAAGGAUAAUUUAUCGAAGUAUGAAAUAAGUUGAUAAUAUACUUCUCGAGUAGUUUAACAAAUGAAGUUUUAUAUAUUAGUGGUUCAAAUAUGAUAUACAUCAUCAAUUAAAGAAAUAUCAAUGAUCAAUUUAAGGAGAUUUAUAUAUUAAAUUUGAUACUGAUAAACUUCAGUUGAUCGAUAAAAAUAAAUUAUAGAAUUACACUACUAUAUUUUAGGCCUACAACAACAUUAAAUUUAGAUAAUGCUUGUAAAGUGUUGUCUAAAAUAUUUUUGGGGACACUUUUAAAGCGUAGCCCAAGUUUUUAAUUUUUGCCUUUGAUAAUAUUGAUAACACUUGUAAAACGUACUCUUUAAUUGUGUAGGAUGCAC